AUUGAACGCUGGCGGCAUGCUUUACACAUGCAAGUCGGACGGCAGCACAGAGAAGCUUGCUUCUUGGGUGGCGAGUGGCGAACGGGUGAGUAAUAUAUCGGAACGUACCGAGUAAUGGGGGAUAACUAAUCGAAAGAUUAGCUAAUACCGCAUAUUCUCUGAGGAGGAAAGCAGGGGACCUUCGGGCCUUGCGUUAUUCGAGCGGCCGAUAUCUGAUUAGCUAGUUGGUGGGGUAAAGGCCUACCAAGGCGACGAUCAGUAGCGGGUCUGAGAGGAUGAUCCGCCACACUGGGACUGAGACACGGCCCAGACUCCUACGGGAGGCAGCAGUGGGGAAUUUUGGACAAUGGGCGCAAGCCUGAUCCAGCCAUGCCGCGUGUCUGAAGAAGGCCUUCGGGUUGUAAAGGACUUUUGUCAGGGAAGAAAAGGCUGUUGCUAAUACCGACAGCUGAUGACGGUACCUGAAGAAUAAGCACCGGCUAACUACGUGCCAGCAGCCGCGGUAAUACGUAGGGUGCGAGCGUUAAUCGGAAUAACUGGGCGUAAAGGGCACGCAGGCGGUGACUUAAGUGAGGUGUGAAAGCCCCGGGCUUAACCUGGGAAUUGCAUUUCAUACUGGGUCGCUAGAGUACUUUAGGGAGGGGUAGAAUUCCACGUGUAGCGGUGAAAUGCGUAGAGAUGUGGAGGAAUACCGAAGGCGAAAGCAGCCCCUUUGGGAAUGUACUGACGCUCAUGUGCGAAAGCGUGGGGAGCAAACAGG
rnacentral:rRNA from 1 species